GUUGGCUCCAACAAUUCUCAUUGGUCUCAAACCAAUGAAAUGCAUGAAGAUGAUCAUGUUGAGUGGGAGGUGGACGAGGAUGGUGAGGGUAUCAUCGAUGCACCAAAAGGAAGAGCGGGCAACUACACCAUGGACGAAGACAUCUUGCUAUGCAAUACAAGGUUGCAUGUGUCUAUGGAUGCCAACGUUGGAGGGGACCACAGUAGAGAUGCAUAUUGGGACCGGAUGAAGGAGCACUUUGAUUUACACAAUAAGAGUGGAAUUGACCGCACGGGUAGAUCUCUUCGCUCCCGGUGGUCGACAAUCAACAAAUAUUAUCAAAGGUGGGCGGCGGCACUUAAGGCGGUUGACACAAUAAACUCAAGUGGCAUUAAUGAUAGAGAUAGGGUAAGUGUCAUUUCUUUAUGUUCCUUCCAUGUUCAUGCUUCUUUUUUGGUGUUUCAAGUGCUAACUUCUUCUUUUGUUUGUAGGUCACUAUUGCAUAAAACUUAUUUCAAGGAGAAGAGAAGAAGACCAAGAAAGGGAGACCAUUUGUGUUGGCCCAUUGCUACAAUGUGUUGA
rnacentral:rRNA from 1 species